UACGUAGGUGGCAAGCGUUAUCCGGAUUUACUGGGUGUAAAGGGCGUGUAGGCGGGAGAGCAAGUCAGACGUGAAAUUCCAGGGCUCAACCCUGGAACUGCGUUUGAAACUGUUCUUCUUGAGUGAUGGAGAGGCAGGCGGAAUUCCGUGUGUAGCGGUGAAAUGCGUAGAUAUACGGAGGAACACCAGUGGCGAAGGCGGCCUGCUGGACAUUAACUGACGCUGAGGCGCGAAAGCGUGGGGAGCAGACAGG
rnacentral:rRNA from 1 species